AGUGAACGCUGGCGGUAGGCCUAACACAUGCAAGUCGAACGGCAGCACAGUAAGAGCUAGCUCUUACGGGUGGCGAGUGGCGGACGGGUGAGGAAUACAUCGGAAUCUACUUUUUUGUGGGGGAUAACGUAGGGAAACUUACGCUAAUACCGCAUACGACCUACGGGUGAAAGCAGGGGAUCUUCGGACCUUGCGCGAUUGAAUGAGCCGAUGUCGGAUUAGCUAGUUGGCGGGGUAAAGGCCCACCAAGGCGACGAUCCGUAGCUGGUCUGAGAGGAUGAUCAGCCACACUGGAACUGAGACACGGUCCAGACUCCUACGGGAGGCAGCAGUGGGGAAUAUUGGACAAUGGGCGCAAGCCUGAUCCAGCCAUACCGCGUGGGUGAAGAAGGCCUUCGGGUUGUAAAGCCCUUUUGUUGGGAAAGAAAAGCAGCAGGUUAAUACCCCGCUGUUCUGACGGUACCCAAAGAAUAAGCACCGGCUAACUUCGUG
rnacentral:rRNA from 1 species